rnacentral:pre_miRNA from 1 species
UUAUGAAUCACACAGAGUUUGCUAGAAAGCAGACUCUGAUUCGGUAAAUGUGCACCGUAGCCUGAGAUUCUGCAUUUCUAGCAAGCUCCCAGGUGAUGCUAUU